rnacentral:lncRNA from 1 species
GCAAAUCUCCCCAAAAUUCAAAACGCGCUGAUCCUCCCCGGGUCGGGUCAACACGCGGGUCAUGGCCACCUAAACGGCGCCGUUUUGAGCAUUAUUUAAAUCAAAAUUUUUCCCUUCAAAAGCCAUUAGAAAACGAAUGAAAGAAAAAAAAUAAAAUAAAAAGAACAGUGCUUUUCUGGUGCUCUGCAAGGGUUUCAUCCCUAGCGUCCUCACGCCACCCCUCGGCCCACGCCGGCGCUCCGAUCGCGACGGGUACGGCGACGGUCCGGCGGCUUCGACGACAGAGGUAAGAUCCCUCAUUCCUUUGUUAUUUCUUUAAAAAAACAUAAAACGCAAAAGGAAAAAAAAGGAUAAAAUAAAAAAUAAAAUGAAACUAAAAGAACCCGA